rnacentral:misc_RNA from 1 species
CACCGCACACGACGCCGCCCCUCCUUUCUUCCUCCCAUCAACGUGGACCUUUAGCGCGCCUUCCCGCGUCUGCGUCUUCUUCUGUCUUUCCCAUCCCUUUUUGUGUCUGGGGGGAGUGCGCGAGAGUGACUUGGGCGGUGACGUGGCGAGAGGAAGGGGAGUAGCGCACCGCGUUGCCCAUAGACCUAAUCGCCUGCUCACGCGCACACAGAUCCGGUGCCCACGCUCACAACGCCGCACCAGCACCGCAAUGGAACGUGAGCGAAAGCUGGCGGAACGGGAGGUGCGCGAGGCCGUGGCGGACGCGGAGUCGCCGCUGGCGCAGCGACACGUGCGGGAAUCCCUGAAGAAGAACAAAUUCGCUGUUGCCCUCUACGCCGUGGCCCUCUUCACGCCCGCCUUCUUCCUCAUGUUCUUCUACACCGCCAAGGCGCGCGAGAUUCGCGCCAACUUCAGAGACCCCUACGCCCUCCCCGAGGGGUUUGACCCAAAGACGGGUGAGUUCUCGAGCAAGGAGGCGCAACCGAAGAGCGCGCAGGAGUUGCCCAUAUCCAGAUCACUCUUUGUGGGCGAGGAGCCGGGCAGCUACGGAGGGCGUGCGCGCAAGCGCAGCAUCAGCUGAAACAAUUGGAGGUGCGCUGUGCAGCCGCGCAGGCGAGGAGAAAGCCGCUGACACGCACGUGGAGACGGAGAAGCAAGACGCUUCCGUUGUUGUGCAGGGCGGGUGGCUCCCACUCGUGCUUGCCUUUGAGAACCGAAAGGGGGUGUGGUGACUCGCCUCGAUGCUUCCAUAACGCGAAACGAGCAUAAAAGGAAAAUCAAUACAAACUAGUGCAGUACCGUUCAGGCGGAAAGGGAGAGCGAGAGGGAGAGACGAUGCGUGCACUUCGUGUAGUGGGCCCCGCCUCUGGCGUGAUGGCCUGCUGGCAAGCGAACCCGACUGACAACUUGCGUUUUGUGGGGCAGCCUCGGCAACCGCACCGAGAAUUGCGGCUUUCACCCAUCCCUUCCCUUUCUUCUGACGCUGGUCUCU